rnacentral:tRNA from 1 species
GGGCCUAUAGCUCAAAUGGAUAGAGCGUCUGACUACGGAUCAGAAGGUUAGGGGUUCAACUCCUCUUAGGCCCGCCA